GAUGAACGCUGGCGGCGUGCCUAAUACAUGCAAGUCGAGCGAACAGACGAGGAGCUUGCGCGUCUGACGUUAGCGGCGGACGGGAGAGUAACACGUGUAUAACCUACCUAUAAUACUGGUAUAACUUCGGGAAACCGGAUCUAAUACCGGAGAAUAUAUUGCACCGCAGGGGUCAAUGGUGAAAUUCGGUUGUUCUGGCUCUUAUAGAUGGUUCCCGGCCGCAUUAGCUAGUUGGUAAGGUAACGGCUUACUAAGGGAACGAUGCGUAGACGAACGCAGAGGCUGGUAGGCGGCCCUGGAGGUGAGCCGGCGACCAGGCUCCUACGGGAGGCCGCAGUCUGCAAUGGUCCGCAACAGGCGAGAGCUUGACGGAACAACGCGGCGUCAGUGACAGAGGUGCUGGGAGCGUAAAGACCUGUUACUAGGGAAGAACAACUGUGUCAGUUACUAUGGCCGUAUUGACGGUACCUAAUAAGGAAGCACCGGCUAACUACGUG
rnacentral:rRNA from 1 species